rnacentral:rRNA from 1 species
ACGCUCGACACCUACGGGGGGCAGCAGUGGGGAAUAUUGCACAAUGGGGAAACCCUGAUGCAGCGACGCCGCGUGAAGGAAGAAGUAUCUCGGUAUGUAAACUUCUAUCAGCAGGGAAGAAAGUGACGGUACCUGACUAAGAAGCCCCGGCUAACUACGUGCCAGCAGCCGCGGUAAUCUGAGCGGGCUGGCAAGGC